GACGAACGCUGGCGGCGCGCUUAACACAUGCAAGUCGAACGGAAAGGCCUGCUUUCCCUUGUGGAUUGCGGGUACUCGAGUGGCGAACGGGUGAGUAACACGUGAGUGAUCUGCCCCCAACUUGGGUAUAAGCCUGGGAAACUGGGUCUAAUUCCCGAUAGGACUGCAGGGUGGUGCCUGUGGUGGAAAACGAUUUUCUAGUGGUUGGGGAUGAGCUCGCGGCCUAUCAGCUUGUUGGUGGGGUAAUGGCCUACCAAGGCGGCGACGGGUAGCCGGCCUGGGAGGGUGGACGGCCACAUUGGGACUGAGAUACGGCCCAGACGCCUACGGGAGGCAGCAGUGGGGAAUAUUGCACAAUGGGCGGAAGCCUGAUGCAGCGACGCAGCGUGGGGGAUGACGGCCUUCGGGUUGUAAACUCCUUUCGACCGCGAGGAAGCCACCUGGUUGGAAGGGUGGUGACGGUAGUGGUAGAAGAAGCACCGGCUAACUACGUG
rnacentral:rRNA from 1 species